CUUCAGAAGCCAAUUGACUAGGGCAGGAUCAGAAGACAAUACACAGCAGAAGUGAAGCAGAGUUUGUAGAAGGAAUGGUGAAAAAGUAGAAACUUAGGGACCAAGAGAGCCACAUAAUUUACUUCUGCUUGGUUUUCUGAGCUGUCUUAAUACUAUGUUAAUAACCCAAAGGCCAUGUGGAGGCCCAGCUGGAGAGCAGAGAUGUCUCUCAGACAAGUGAUGCUCUGUAUCCCUGCCUUUGGGGUCUUAAGGAGAACAACUUGCUUUAGAGAAAAGGGGACUUUAGAACAACUGAUGACCUUCAUUUCUUCCUAGUGUCUUAUAUAAAUUUAUAAAUAGAUUUACAUUGUUACAUCUCUGCUGGCAUUUUAGAGAAUCUAAAAUGGAGAUCAAAAGAAAGCAGCAAGAUUACAAGCCCUACUGCACCCUUCCCAAGCACCCCAUUCCUUCAUAAAGUGGUAACUAUUGUAAAUUCUAUGUCCAAGCCGGCUUUUCCAAGGUCAGAGAAAACGGAAAUCUUAAGAUUGGCCCAAUCAAAGAGGAACAUUAUCACUUUGAACAAAGACCUUGAAAAGGACCUGCAGAGGAGAGAUGAAGCAAACCAGGAGCUGCUUCUCAAAACCCAAGAGAAAGAACGCGAGAUCCAGAGGAAAGAAAGAAUGAGACUCUGGUCCAUAGUAUAACAGAACUGCAGAGAAAGCUUGCAAAGAAAUCACACAAGAUAACCAAGUGUGAACAAUGUUAUCCAGAUAGAACCCCAGAAGAGUUGCAGGUUAAGUUACAGUAGCUGGAAGCCUCCUGUACAGACCAAGAAAUGAAACU
rnacentral:lncRNA from 1 species